CUUGAAACCCGACAAUUACAUACAUAUAUAUUCUUUUUUAUGUUAAAUCACAUAUAUAUACAUGUAUAUAUGUGCGCAGUGUGAGUUCCUUGUCAUUUUCUUCCCUCAUAUCUCUCUUACACACAGAGAACAGAAUUCAAUGGCCGGAAAGUUAGACCUCCGGCGGCGGCGAGUUCUUGUUCCUUUCACUAGUUUAUGUUGAAUUUAUAUUCCCUGUAUUAAUUUUUUCUUUGUGGAUCAUUUAUAGGUAUAUUUUUUUAUAAUUUUCCAGUAUCUCUAUAAGAAUAUAAACCCCUUAUUUAAAAUAAUAAUAAUAAUAAUAAUAAUAAUUGAAUCUUUUUAUCUUUUUUGGAAGUGGAUUCAUUUAGCCGAUCUCUCAAUAAAAGAUAAGAUCAGGCUGAUGGAAUCUUGAUUUUUUACACACAACAUCGAGAAAAUUCAAGUUGAUUUUUUUUUUUACUGAUGUAUUUUUUCCUUGUCCGUAUUGUUUUGUUUUCUUCUGUUCUAUGAAAAUGAGUUUCGAAACAGGAGAUUCUUGUUUGGUUUCACACAGCAUCACGUCAUUGCUUCACAGUUUAGCCAUUGAUAAAACGCCACAUCAGGACGAUGCUCGUGGAUUUGUUGAUUUUUUUUAAUUCCAAGAAAUACAUAAACACACAGAGACGCACUCAUAUUUUUAAUUUCAUCUAUACCAUUUUGUAAGAUUCAAAUUGAUUAGAAGGUUUCACCCUGCAGAUCUUGGUGAUUUAUUCUUUGGAUCUAUGUAUACACAGUUGUUUUUUGCUGGUGCAGCACCAUCAAGAUUCACAUGCAAAGGAAAGGUGGUUAACUGAUACAUAUAUACUCUCUCUUUGUGUUUGUUCUUUUUUCGGCCAAACCCUUUUGGUGAUGAGAAUCUUGAUGAUGCUGCAGCGGCAAUAAACUACUAGCCCAAGUAAGGGAAAUGUCCAGUCACCACCGUGUCUAGGCAAAACCAGACUACUUUUAAAUCUCAUGUCGCGGGUGAAAGGUCUUCCUCAGGAUUUGUAAUCACGUUCAAUGGCUCUUCUUACACAAAGGAUUUUGAGGGUGAGUUCUAGUAUAAUUCUGAAUCUCAUGUCGCAAGUGAAAGCCUGGCCCAUAUAUUUGUAGGUAAUCACAUUCAACACCUUGUUUUACACAAAGACAUUUUGAUUGUCAGGUGGGAUUUUUUGGAAAUACUUAAAAGUGGGUUUAUUUGUUUUCUGUCAGCUCUUUCGAGACCGACAGAUGACUACCGAGGGAUUUCACUCUGCUGGUAAACUGCAUAGAUCUGUGAUUGCUUUUCUGUUCAGACAAACUGAAAUUGUAUGGUGGAAUAUAUACUUAUAUAUGAGCAGUAUAAAAUUUUUUAGAUAACAAUGGGUAAUUUUAGCUUCUUUUUUUUCUAAUUUUUUUCCUUGUUUUAUACAGCUUUAAUACUUAUCAUUGGAAGCUUAAUUACUAGAUUUUGCUUAGAUUAUAUCUGUUUUUUCAGCUCAAAUUUCAGUCUUGGUUUUGCUGGAGGUAAAGGAAUUCGCGGUAUCAGAAGUGGAGAAGAAGAGAUGAGAAAAUAAGCUAUUAAGUUCUUAAAAGUUCUAAUGGUUCAUAUAGAGGAUAUGAUUAUAAUUGAGAAAAGAGUUUGAUUCUAUGUUUCCUUGUCUUUUUUGGNAACAAUAGGUAAUUUUAGCUUCUUUUUUUUCUAAUUUUUUUCGUUGUUUUAUACAGCUUUAAUACUUAUCAUUGGAAGCUUAAUUACUAGAUUUUGCUUAUAUUAUAUCUGUUUUUUCAGCUCAAAUUUCAGUCUCGCUUUGGCUGGAGGUAAAGGAAUUCGUGGUAUCAGAAGUGGAGAAGAAGAGGUGAGAAAAUAAGCUAUUAAUUUAUUAAAAGUUCUAAUGGUUCAUAUAUAGGAUAUGAUUAUAAUUGAGAAAAGAGUUUGAUUCUAUGUUUCCUUGUCUUUUUUGGAGGAGAUUCAAAUAUAUAAAUUUGUUAAUUCAAUGUAGUUCUUUGAAAAUUGAAUUGCUGUAAGAACUAGGAAGUUAGAGUGCAAGUCAAUGUAGAAACACAAGGGUGUGUUUGGUACGUCGGUCUGAACACGAUUGAUUAGGGUUAAGAAAGGAAAAAGAAGUUAAAAAUCUUGUCCAUGUCUAAUACUACGUAGUGCCGGUCAGCAUUACAUUCACUGCUUAGAAACAUCUUGCAACAAUGCUGAGUGCACCAAUUUCUCAUCUUUCGAUAGUUACACCAUAUUGGCAAGUUAUAUAAUUUCCAGUUCAAUCGAGGACUAUAUAUGUACCAAACAUGAGUAUAAGCUUCCCAACAUUUUCCUCAUUUUGGGUUUUUCAUUUAUUACAUUGAUAACCAGACAUACAUCUGUAUUUCAGAGCACUUCUAUUGCGAUCUGAAAGGAAUUGUUCACAUUUUAGAAGACUAAAGGACCUUAAAUAAACCCCAUUGUGUUAACCUAGCGUACUGCAUUAGACCAAUGAAAUAUAAAUGUUUGUUAAACCUUUUCUUUUCCCCUUUGACUUUGGGCUCUGAUGGAGUUAAAUCCUUUAUAGUUCCCCUUCAAUAGAUUUCUAUCAUUUUAUGGCAUAAAUACUUACAUGAAGGAAGCUGUGAUGCUUCUCUUUCUUUGGUCAUUUCAAGCCACAGCCCUAAGCUAGAGAGCUUUGCUAGACCUGAAAUCUGGUUUCUGGAAUCAUUUUUGCAUCAUUACCAAUAGACUAUGGGUGGAUGGCCGGUGAAACUCCAACACUAAAGUCAAAUUAAAGUCUAUUACUUAAGAAAGUUUAGGCUUGAAUACAGUUGGACGUAGUAGUUUUCGUAGAUUAGAUGCUAGGCACGAACAAGUGUUGGUCGUAAUGGCUGAAUAUAUUGAACAUCGGCUUUGAUAGGAUUUCACAUAGUCAACUCACCGGCAAGACUUUAACCUGAAUUUUGCCCUCUUAUUGCCAUAUCACCUUUGGUAAAUUCAACUGCACAAUGUGGUUGACGUGUUACUAUGUUUGACAAUUUACAUCGAUAUUUUGAUGAAACUGGAUUCUUGAUUGGUUUUGCAUUGAAUGAGGUUGUGUCUCAAUGUCUUUAGUUGAGAGUUACAAAUGAAUAGCCUGCACUAUUCUAAAGAUUUGGGAGUUGGGCUAAGUGUAAUGACUUGAACACCUAACUGGUCGGCUCUGAUAGCAAUUCACAUGGUUAGCUUAUCGAGCAAGACUUAGACUUGAAAUUUGACUUUUCUUAAUGCCAUGUGACCUUGGGUAAAGUCAAUUACUCCAUGUGGCUGUCAUGCAUGUAAGUGUUACUGUGUUUGACAAUUUACGUCGAUAUUUUUAUGAAAUUGGGUUCUUGCUUGGUUUCGCAUCGAACGAGGUCAUAAAUUGACUUAGCUGAGUCACAAAUGAAUAGCCGGCACUAUUCUAAAGAUUUGGUAGUUGAUUUUGGGACGGGCCAAGCGUAAUGGCUUGAACACCUAAUCAGUCGACUCUGAUAGCAAUUCGCAUGGGCAGUUGAUCGAGCAAGACUUUGACUUAAGUUUGACUUUUCUUAAUGCCAUGUCACGUUCUGUAAGUUCACUUAUGCCAUGUGGCUGUCUUGCUUGUAUGGUAACGGUGUUUUUGACAGUUUACGUUGAAAUUUCUAUGAAAUUGGAUUCCUGCUUGAAUGUUUUUGAACCUUGCUAUGCUCACAGGGACUGCUGGUUCGCAGAAUUCAUACAGGGAAGAUAAUUGGCAAUUUCUAGUUAAAAGAUGGCAAAAAGAAAAAGGAAAAAAUGAACCACAUAGAUGCUGCCACAGCAGCACCUGUAGAAAAUCUGUGAUCUGUAAACUUAGCAUUUUUCAAUGUUUUUACCUUCCAGGAAAUUUUUUUUAUGGGUUCUUGACUUGCCAGAGAAGAACCAAAUGAAAAAAACAUUUCUCCCAUAAAACUGAUUAAAUCGGACGGCACUGAUUCGGAGAUAUGACUUUAGAAUCAAUGUGGCCCUGGACGUCCAGAAUUUAUUAUAUGAAAAGAGAAAACACAGAAUUUAAGAGGGGCAAAAAUGAUGCUACACAUGGAAAAAACCUUGAACAGAAUAAGUAUAUGGAUGUGCUUCACGUUCCUUGCCGUCAUGCAUCCUAUAACAUGUUGUGGAAAUCCAUGGUUUUCUCAUAAUAAUAAUCUUUGUCAUAUCAGAGUUUCCCGAAUUCAAUAUAUCGUCGAUAUCUCCAUAUAUGCGAUCAAAUGCAUCCCUUCUAUCGUCAAAGAUAAUAAAGCUACUCCAGCCCUAAGUGUGCCACGUAGUCCAAUUUGGUUCAUAUUUUCACGAACACUCUCG
rnacentral:lncRNA from 1 species